rnacentral:rRNA from 1 species
UACGGGGGGAGCAAGCGUUGUUCGGAUUUACUGGGCGUAAAGGGCGCGUAGGCGGUCAGCACAAGUCAGUUGUGAAAUCUCCGGGCUUAACUCGGAAAGGUCAACUGAUACUGCGCGACUAGAGUGCAGAAGGGGCAACUGGAAUUCUCGGUGUAGCGGUGAAAUGCGUAGAUAUCGAGAGGAACACCUGCGGCGAAGGCGGGUUGCUGGGCUGACACUGACGCUGAGGCGCGAAAGCCAGGGGAGCGAACGGG